AUCGAACGCUGGCGGCAGGCUUAACACAUGCAAGUCGAGCGGGGUGAUGGUGCUUGCACUAUCACUUAGCGGCGGACGGGUGAGUAAUGCUUAGGAAUCUGCCUAUUAGUGGGGGACAACAUCUCGAAAGGGAUGCUAAUACCGCAUACGUCCUACGGGAGAAAGCAGGGGAUCACUUGUGACCUUGCGCUAAUAGAUGAGCCAAAGUCGGAUUAGCUAGUUGGUGGGGUAAAGGCCUACCAAGGCGACGAUCUGUAGCGGGUCUGAGAGGAUGAUCCGCCACACUGGGACUGAGACACGGCCCAGACUCCUAUGGGAGGCAGCAGUGGGGAAUAUUGGACAAUGGGGGGUACCCUGAUCCAGCCAUGCCGCGUGUGUGAAGAAGGCCUUAUGGUUGUAAAGCACUUUAAGCGAGGAGGAGGCUCUUUUGGUUAAUACCCAAGAUGAGUGGACGUUACUCGCAGAAUAAGCACCGGCUAACUCUGUGCCAGCCGCCGCGGUAA
rnacentral:rRNA from 1 species